UUGAGUUUUUUCUAGGGAGGGAGGGGUACAGGGAGCGAUUCGAGCUAUGUUCGAACAAUAUGGGUACGAAAGGUGAGUUUUCCGGAAGUGUAAAUCCGGAAAUUAACGAACAUAUUUACGUCUUGCCAAUCGAGCUAUAUGAUUGGUUAAGUAGUGUCGGGUUAUUACGGAAAUUACCGAUCGGACUAGAAAACAGUAUCCGGAUGGUUCGUAUCCGGAUAUGACAGACGACGAAGAUUAAUAAACAAGUAUUGGAAAAACACGACCACCACCAACUUCUAAAAACAUCGAUUCGUCGAUUAAAAGGUAUGUUGAUGGUUCCAAAAGUCAGGGAUGAACAGACACCUCAGCCAGUGCAUCCGGUUGUUCCUGUCAAUGACCGACAAUUCAAUUCAGAUGCCAUGAUUCUUGGAUUUAUGGCUGAACAUGACCUUCCAUACCCCUGGUACCACAUGUAGUGAGUUUUACAUAAGACACUUGCCAAAGAUACAAAAGCUCUCAGCGAAUUAAAACUUCAAAGGUGUACAGCAUCAUAUAAGAUGACUUCCUGAGAGGCAAGCCAUUUCAAUGAUGAACUUGUUGAGGAGUUAAGUGAUACUCGGUGUGUGCUACUGGACACCUGUAACAUCAUGAGGAGAAAAAAUCCGGCUUGGAGACCAGAAUACGUCAACUUGUCCCUCACCUCAUAGACAUUGAUGGUGACACAGCCCGCCAUGUCCACAACGGUUACCCUGCCAAAGCAUUUACAGUCCCAUUUGGAUAUUACUUGGAAUUCCGAAUAAUAAUUAAUAUAAUAUAUAAUAAUUAAUAAUAUUAUAUUCUCAUCAAAUGUGCAGAUAAUGGAAUAAAUACUCUUAUGUCUGAUAUAUAAAAUUUGAAUAAAUAACACUUUACAAUAAACAUUUGCAAGCUUGAUAUUUGAUAUGUUAUUCAUUAUUAUUUAUCAAACAUCCCACAGUAUAGACUAUUCAUACACAGGCAUUUGAUCAUAGCAAGUUGAGUUUUAUGGGAAGUGGACAACUGAACCAAAAUGUCAGGUACAUGUCUUAUGCCUGUGACUUAAGGUAAAAAAGUAAAUUUAACUUUGUUCAAAGACAAAGGUGUUAAACUUCACUGCUAAGAUUCCUGAUAAUUGUCCUGAUUGCGGAAGUCUCCUGUUGGACAUAAUUAUAUCUACCAAACGGAAAGGUGAACUCAUUGAACACUAUUCUAAGACAAAAAAGGGUAUUAGAAACUCUGAAAUACUGAAAGCUUCGGGGGGCUUUGCCCCCCUUGUCCCCCCACCAGGGCUUUGCCCUGGACCCAUCGGGGGCCUUUAGGGGCCCCCUGAACCCCACGCAGAUAUUUUCAGGAUUGGCAACUUGGCCCUGUUAUCAUCCCUGUAUAAAUCAUAAAACCUUCUUCUAUAACCUGUCUCUAUGGUGUAGUGGGUCUGGUCUUACCGGUGAUCCGAUGAAUUAUAUUUUUAAAACCUUUUUUAGUAUCGUUAGUAAUUCAUUAAUUUACUUUUUUAUGAAAGUUUUAUCAAAUUAAUAUUUUCAAAUGAAAUUUUCAAUAUAACAGUUUAUUGAAUGUUAAGCUUGUCCACAAAUAUUAAAUAUGCUUUUACGUGGAUAAUAUGCUAAGAUAACUUACUUGAUGCGGUGUGCAUCAUUUUGCAAUUCAUGUGCAAUUAUUAGUAUUUGUUGUGUUGUUAUGUUGUUUCGUUGAGUUAUAAAAGACAGAAAAAGGUUA